CUCUUUGUUUUUCAGAGUGACUCGCAAUCUAGAUACAUCUGAUUGCUCCCCCACCUUGACUAGAUUGGAUUAAACCUUUUUGCAAGAAUACACAUUAAACAGUUUCCUCAUGAGUGGAUUCAGAUUAAACAUGGGCAGCGUGGUGUACUUCUCAUUGCCUCACAGCAGGAGACGUUUGAGUCUGUCUGUCCCAUGAUUUCUGGUGCUGUAUUUGGUAAUUUUGGCUAAGGUGGAGUCGGCUACACAUCUCUUUGUGAAGGUGGCCUUUCCCCUUUGUUAUCAGUCAGUCAUCUGGGAUGAGACAUCAAGCCCUGUGAACAUCCUGUUCCCUGACAACCCUUCAGAGCGGGGUUCAGCGCCCUGCUGAAGCCUCUGGGAAACAUUGAUUACACUCACGUGACGGUGGGAAUUUCUCAGAUUCCUUCUACGUUGACUGCCUGCGUUAUUCAGUGAAGCAGACAUUGCCCGCUCCCUACAGUUUCGCCUGCAAAAUGUUCAAUUUUAAUUUAAAAGAUUAAUACAGCCAAGAUAUUCUUUCAACAGGCAAAUGAAAACCGCAGUUUAAACUCUAAGUUUCAAUCAGAAUCUAACAGCUCCUGGAUUUCCCGUGGCUCACACUCUUCUGAAACAACUCACAAAGAGCCUGAGGAAGCAGCUCUCCCUUAUCAGUGGGCCAGUUUAUUUGUCUCCCUGGGACUAGUAAUUCUGUAGUUACUGGAGGUAGUAGAAGGCACACAGAUCAUGCCAUUUCCCUCUAGUACUUGGAUAACUGAGAAAGAAAUGGCAGAAAAUUGUGAGUGGUAUUUCCAGCUCCUAACAGAGUAAGUUAUGCUUUUUCCUUAGACGUCCUAUGAAAGGGAAUAAGGAGUCCUUUGCAUUUGUAUGAUAUCAGUUUAUUUCCAAAGAAACAAUUGCUGUUGACAUCUGAAAACUAUAGAAAAAGUAUAAAAAUUACUACCAAUAAUGUUUCGUAUGUUUGUAAGUUUCUUUCCCAUAAUUUUCUUACAUUUAAAUAUUUAAUGUCUUGUGUUUAGAUCAUUCAUGUGGAAAGCUCUUUGGCCCAGCGUCAAAACAUUAAAUAAAAAGCAAACAGACCUUUA
rnacentral:lncRNA from 1 species